rnacentral:rRNA from 1 species
UACGUAGGGUGCAAGCGUUGUCCGGAAUUAUUGGGCGUAAAGAGCUCGUAGGCGGUCUGUCGCGUCGGAUGUGAAAAACUCGGGGGCUCAACCCCCGAGCCUGCAUUCGAUACGGGCAGACUAGAGUUCGGUAGGGGAGACUGGAAUUCCUGGUGUAGCGGUGAAAUGCGCAGAUAUCAGGAGGAACACCGGUGGCGAAGGCGGGUCCCCUGGGCCGAUACUGACGCUGAGGAGCGAAAGCGUGGGGAGCAAACAGG